rnacentral:rRNA from 1 species
UCCAGACUCCUACGGGAGGCAGCAGUGGGGAAUAUUGCACAAUGGGGGAAACCCUGAUGCAGCGACGCCGCGUGAGUGAAGAAGUAUUUCGGUAUGUAAAGCUCUAUCAGCAGGGAAGAAAUAGCGACCUUUGGGUCGCCAGACGGUACCUGAUUAAGAAGCCCCGGCUAACUACGUGCCAGCAGCCGCGGUAAUACGUAGGGGGCAAGCGUUAUCCGGAUUUAUUGGGUUUAAAGGGUGCGCAGGCGGAAGAUCAAGUCAGCGGUAAAAUUGAGAGGCUCAACCUCUUCGAGCCGUUGAAACUGGUUUUCUUGAGUGAGCGAGAAGUAUGCGGAAUGCGUGGUGUAGCGGUGAAAUGCAUAGAUAUCGCGCAGAACUCCGAUUGCGAAGGCAGCAUGCCGGCUCCACACUGACGCUGAGGCACGAAAGCGUGGGUAUCGAACAGGAUUAGAUACCCUCGUA